rnacentral:lncRNA from 1 species
AAGAGAUGACCCCAGCAUCAGCUCCACACACGCAACAUGACACAGUGUGUCCCUGUUGUCACUACAGUCCAGCAGCCAUCAGAGACGGAGCUGCCGGGGCAAUUCCUAGCGCUAUCUCCUCUUGGUCCUGUGUGGCCUGUGCUGCGGAGGCCUGGGUCCUAAGGUUGCAGUGGCCCAUUC